CGAGAAAAGGUCAUUAAGCGUUAGAGAAGUCUCUUAACCUUUUGCUGUCUAUUUCAAAUCUUCAACCAGUGUUUUAAUUUAGUCUCUUGGUUGAUUUCUCUUCUCUCUAUUCUGUAAUAUUUUCCUUUGAAUUAGAAAAGUUGGGGGCAGGGUACCCUGCUUCCAUAUUGCCUCAGAUGAAGGAAAACAAGUGUAGGAAUAGAAUUUAUUUUAUUAGUUAAAUUAAAAACUACAAUAAAAAUUAAAACUUACCAUGACAAGGCUAUAAAUGACGAACAUCAUGCAAUUGAAUAAGGAAAGUUUCUUAGCUGGAUAUCAUGAGUUUUGAGCUACUCAUAUUAGCUAAGAGCUAGAGUAAUGUUUUUGGUAAAAGGUUAUGCUCCCAUCAAACCUGAUUGCUAAGCUAUGUUGUACUUCCAUUGAUUUAUGAGGC
rnacentral:lncRNA from 1 species